AGAUGUUAUUAUUGCUUCCCUUACCCUGGCUCUAGUUCCAGCCCGGGGCCUGCCCACAGAAACCAGCUGUUCCUGUUUCCUCUGUGUCCCGCGGUAGCACCGAGGAGGCUGGUGCACUGGGCUCCGUGGUUCCCGCCCGGGCCCGCCGCAGCCGGCUCUGAGGAAGCGGCUCUGAGGAAGCAGCGCACCGCCAGCCUCGUCCUCGCGCCGGCGACCCUGGGGCGGGUCACCUCGCCGGGUCGAGGCCUCCCGGGCAGGCCUGGCGGAGGGAGGAGCGAGGCCUGCCUGCGGGAGACCCGGGGAGGCGCGUCAUGUGCAAAAGGGCACUGUGAUGGAGUUUAUUACACAUAACAGCAAAUUCCAAAGCAGGAGUGGCAGCAGAAAACAAUGAAGGCAAAGGAAGUAAGCCCGGGAAGAGAAAGCAGUUUUUGGACAACAGUUCCUUCACCUCAGCAUUUUUCAUGGAUUUCAAAUAAGUGGUAACAAUAUUUUUAUUUGCACAUUUUCUUUGAAAAUAAAAAUGAUCUUAUUGAUUUUCAAAAAGGAAAUAAUCAA
rnacentral:lncRNA from 10 species